rnacentral:rRNA from 1 species
UACGUACUGUGCGAACGUUAUUCGGAAUCACUGGGCUUAAAGGGUGCGUAGGCGGCCAAUUAAGUAGGGUGUGAAAGGCUUCGGCUCAACCGGAGCAUUGCGCUCUAGACUGCUUGGCUCGAGUGAGAUAGGGGUGUGCGGAACUUCCAGUGGAGCGGUGAAAUGUGUUGAUAUUGGAAGGAACGCCGGUGGCGAAAGCGGCACACUGGGUCUUAACUGACGCUGAGGUGCGAAAGCGUGGGGAGCAAACAGG